rnacentral:rRNA from 1 species
GACGAACGCUGGCGGCGUGCCUAACACAUGCAAGUCGAACGGAAAGGCCCUGCUUUUGUGGGGUGCUCGAGUGGCGAACGGGUGAGUAACACGUGAGUAACCUGCCCUUGACUUUGGGAUAACUUCAGGAAACUGGGGCUAAUACCGGAUAGGAGCUCCUGCUGCAUGGUGGGGGUUGGAAAGUUUCGGCGGUUGGGGAUGGACUCGCGGCUUAUCAGCUUGUUGGUGGGGUAGUGGCUUACCAAGGCUUUGACGGGUAGCCGGCCUGAGAGGGUGACCGGCCACAUUGGGACUGAGAUGCGGCCCAGACUCCUACGGGAGGCAGCAGUGGGGAAUAGUGCACAAUGGGCGGAAGCCGGAUGCAGCAACGCCGCGUGCGGGAUGACGGCCUUCGGGUUGUAAACCGUUUUCGCCUGUGACGAAGCGUGAGUGACGGUAAUGGGUAAAGAAGCACCGGCUAACUACGUG